CUUACAAAUAAAGAGUUGCAAACAUUUUUCUAAAGAAACUCCUAAAAUCCACUCAGGCCAUAAACGCUGCUCAGACUGAAGCGGAACAUCACCUGUACAGGUAGCCGCCGGUUGCCGCCGGUGACCAGCCUCUGUGACCUGACCAGCGCUGCGACAGGCUGCGUGAAAAUAAAGAAUAUAAAACACA